rnacentral:rRNA from 1 species
UUUUUGAAGUUAAUUUAAAGUCUGGCCUGCCCACUGAGUAAUUAAAUGGCUGCAGUAUUUUAACUGUACAAAGGUAGCAUAAUCAUUUGUUUCUUAAUUAGAAUCUUGUAUGAAGGGUUUGAUGAAAAAGUAACUGUCUCUUAGAGAUUUAAUUAGAAUUUUAUUUUUAAGUUAAAAAGCUUAAAUAAUUAUUGAAGACGAUAAGACCCUAUAGAGUUUAAUAUUAAAUUUAAUAUAUAGAUUUAGAAAUUUAGAAGUUUUUAUAUAAUUAAAUUAUAGUAUUUAGUUGGGGUGAUUAAAAAAUUAAAUAAACUUUUUUUGUUUUUAUACAUAAAUAAUUGAAUGAUUGAUCCUUAGAUUAAGAUUAAAAGAAUAAAUUACCUUAGGGAUAACAGCGUAAUUUUUUUUUAGAGUUCAAAUCGAUAAAAAAGAUUGCGACCUCGAUGUUGGAUUAAAGAAAAGUUUUGGUGAAGAAGCUAAAAUUUUAGGUCUGUUCGACCUUUAAAACUUUACAUGAUCUGAGUUUAAACCGGUGUGAGCCAGGU